AUUGAACGCUGGCGGCAUGCCUUACACAUGCAAGUCGAACGGUAACAGGUCUUCGGAUGCUGACGAGUGGCGAACGGGUGAGUAAUACAUCGGAACGUGCCCAGACGUGGGGGAUAACGAGGCGAAAGCUUUGCUAAUACCGCAUACGAUCUAAGGAUGAAAGCAGGGGACCGCAAGGCCUUGCGCGUUUGGAGCGGCCGAUGGCAGAUUAGGUAGUUGGUGGGAUAAAAGCUUACCAAGCCGACGAUCUGUAGCUGGUCUGAGAGGACGACCAGCCACACUGGGACUGAGACACGGCCCAGACUCCUACGGGAGGCAGCAGUGGGGAAUUUUGGACAAUGGGCGAAAGCCUGAUCCAGCAAUGCCGCGUGCAGGAUGAAGACCUUCGGGUUGUAAACUGCUUUUGUACGGAACGAAAAGGCUCUGGCUAAUACCUGGGGCACAUGACGGUACCGUAAGAAUAAGCACCGGCUAACUACGUG
rnacentral:rRNA from 1 species